rnacentral:rRNA from 1 species
CCCUGCUUCCAGGAAAAGCCUCUAAGCCUCAGGUAACAUCAAAUCGUACCCCAAACCGACACAGGUGGUCAGGUAGAGAAUACCAAGGCGCUUGAGAGAACUCGGGUGAAGGAACUAGGCAAAAUGGUGCCGUAACUUCGGGAGAAGGCACGCUGACACGUAGGUGAAGUGGUUUACCCAUGGAGCUGAAGUCAGUCGAAGAUACCAGCUGGCUGCAACUGUUUAUUAAAAACACAGCACUGUGCAAACACGAAAGUGGACGUAUACGGUGUGACGCCUGCCCGGUGCCGGAAGGUUAAUUGAUGGGGUCAGCGCAAGCGAAGCUCCUGAUCGAAGCCCCGGUAAACGGCGGCCGUAACUAUAACGGUCCUAAGGUAGCGAAAUUCCUUGUCGGGUAAGUUCCGACCUGCACGAAUGGCGUAAUGAUGGCCAGGCUGUCUCCACCCGGGACUCAGUGAAAUUGAACUCGCUGUGAAGAUGCAGUGUACCCGCGGCAAGACGGAAAGACCCCGUGAACCUUUACUAUAGCUUGACACUGAACACUGGUCCUUGAUGUGCAGGAUAGGUGGGAGGCUUUGAAGUGUGGACGCCAGUCUGCAUGGAGCCAUCCUUGAAAUACCACCCUUUAAUGGCUGGUGUUCUAACGUGGGCCCCUGACCGGGGUUGCGGACAGUGUCUGGUGGGUAGUUUGACUGGGGCGGUCUCCUCCUAAAGAGUAACGGAGGAGCACGAAGGUUGGCUAAUCCUGGUCGGACAUCAGGAGGUUAGUGCAAUGGCAUAAGCCAGCUUGACUGCGAGCGUGACGGCGCGAGCAGGUGCGAAAGCAGGUCAUAGUGAUCCGGUGGUUCUGAAUGGAAGGGCCAUCGCUCAACGGAUAAAAGGUACUCCGGGGAUAACAGGCUGAUACCGCCCAAGAGUUCAUAUCGACGGCGGUGUUUGGCACCUCGAUGUCGGCUCAUCACAUCCUGGGGCUGAAGUAGGUCCCAAGGGUAUGGCUGUUCGCCAUUUAAAGUGGUACGCGAGCUGGGUUUAGAACGUCGUGAGACAGUUCGGUCCCUAUCUGCCGUGGGCGCUGGAAGAUUGAGGGGGGCUGCUCCUAGUACGAGAGGACCGGAGUGGACGCAUCACUGGUGUUCGGGUUGUCAUGCCAAUGGCACUGCCCGGUAGCUACAUGCGGAAGAGAUAAGUGCUGAAAGCAUCUAAGCACGAAACUUGCCCCGAGAUGAAUCUUCCCUGAGCCUUUAAGGCUCCUGAAGGAACGUUGAAGACGACGACGUUGAUAGGCCGGGUGUGUAAGCGCAGCGAUGCGUUGAGCUAACCGGUACUAAUGAACCGUGAGGCUUAACCUUACAAC